GGGAUGGUCCUCCUGACAUCCUGCAGGAAAUGGGCUCAUUUCUUAGUUGUUGAAUGAAUGAAGUGAGCAAGUCAGUUUCUCCUUCUCAGGGUCCAUGAUAAUGCCUAUCCAGAGAACCUUGGCCUGCACUGCCUUGACUCAGGAGCCCUCUCAACUCAAACAAUCCUAGAAGAAAGAAAUAAAACCUCUAUAAGGCAGGUGGCCAUUCUGUGAGAUACUAGGACUGUAAGUCCUUGGUACUGUUGACCAGCCUUGGAGAGACUAGCCCAUGUGUCAGUGUUUGCAAUAAAUCAUUUAGAAAGGAAAUGAAGUUCUACUUUCAUUGGUUUUCCUUGUUUCCUUUAUUCCCCUGAGAUACCAACAAUGCUCUUCUGGGAGAGUGGAGGGAGAAUCUGAGAGUGCUGAAAGAUGCCAAACCACCACUCUGCCUUCUGCCUGCUGGAGAUUCCUGCACUCUGACAAGGCUGUUUAAACACAGACCAAGAGGAAAGGGGGAACCCCCGACUCCUGACCUCCCUGGAAUAUCAGCCUCACCUGCAAUGGGGGGUCCAGCAAUCAUCGGAAGGGCCAUCAUGCCCAGGAGGUAGCCAAUGGCCUGUGAGGCCUGCAUUGGGCCUACCAGCUCAAAGGCGAUGGGGGCCAUGAUGGUGAUGAAGAAGCCAUCGCACAAACCCAGGAAGAGGCAGACAACGAUGAGGCCCCAGAAGCCCUGGCACAGGGGAAUCAUCAUGGACAUCAGGCCCAGGAGCAGGAAGGAGAUAACCUAGAGGAGCAAGGGCCUGAAGUCAUGCUGUGUUGGCCAGCCAAGACCACAUAGCAAAUUGCAUCUCCUUUCUCAGGGCCUCAUUUCUAGCAUCUAUAAAAUGGGUCAGAAGGGUGUCAACAAAAUGGUUAUUCAGGUCCAAGUCUAAGUCUUGCACUGAAGGAUUUAAAGUCUUUAAGAGAGCCCCUUAAAAGCCAUGACCCUUGGCUUCAAAAAAUUAGUCUUUGCCCUGGAGAAAAGGGAAUUGCUAUAUUUGCUUUCUGAUCCUCUGUUUUGGCACCCAAGAAUCAGGGUCUGGGACCAGGCCAUAUUGAUAUUCUCAGAUUCAAGUAAGGAAUGGGAAGAGGAAGGGGAGAAAGUGAUGAUAAUUUGCAUGAUGAUUGGAUGGGAGACUGAAUGGAAGGCACAGCUUCCUGAAAUGGAGAAGGAGCCCAUUUUUAUGGUGGUCUGAUUUUAGAAAACACCUCUUCAUGAAGGAGACCAUUGGGAGAGGCAGACAGGAAGUGUUCCAUACUUUAGGAUAUGGAACACAGCACCCAAUGCAUACAUCUCAGCACAGCUCUGGC